rnacentral:rRNA from 1 species
UUUAACGCGAAAGACCUUACCAGGUCUUGACAUCCUUUGAAGCUUUUAGAGAUAGAAGUGUUCUCUUCGGAGACAAAGUGACAGGUGGUGCAUGGUCGUCGUCAGCUCGUGUCGUGAGAUGUUGGGUUAAGUCCCGCAACGAGCGCAACCCUUAUUGUUAGUUGCCAGCAUUCAGAUGGGCACUCUAGCGAGACUGCCGGUGACAAACCGGAGGAAGGCGGGGACGACGUCAGAUCAUCAUGCCCCUUAUGACCUGGGCUACACACGUGCUACAAUGGCGUAUACAACGAGUUGCCAACCCGCGAGGGUGAGCUAAUCUCUUAAAGUACGUCUCAGUUCGGAUUGUAGUCUGCAACUCGACUACAUGAAGUCGGAAUCGCUAGUAAUCGCGUCAGCACGCCCGCCGAAAA